rnacentral:piRNA from 1 species
UCUGUAAUUGUUCGGCAGACGUCGGUCC